rnacentral:lncRNA from 1 species
UCAUAACUUCAUCUAACUGUUCUCCGAACCCACUAGAAAGUUUGACACCCAAAGCAUCCAAACAUCUGACCAUGGGCUCCACAAUUUAACAACAUACUGUAUGAAGAGACACUCCCUUUUGCUUAUCAAAACCCGUCACCUGAUAUUUCAUUUGAUGCUUCCCAGUCUUCAUAUUAUGAGAAACAGUGAGCAAAGACAAGAACGAGAGAGGGCAUCCAAAGAAGGUUAGGAAGCAGGUCCGGGAUAAACAAAACUGGCAUCCAUGGAAGGCAGCAAACAUGAGAAUAGUUUUCAUCGCUGCGAGGAAGCACACGCAACAUGCUCCACGGAGACAAAGUGGAACAUCCUGCACUGUGGCAACUGCAGGAUCAACAGGAAGGAGCAGAAGGAAGGACACGUCUCAUCUCCCCUCGCAACUCAAAGUUGCACGGGGCACCAUCUGAGUCACUGAAAAGCAUCCUGAGGCAUAUUGCACGGCUGAAUAGAGGUGGAAGAUGGGCUAAAGUGAUCCAAGUAUUCCCGACUUCCACGACCGCCUCUAGGAAGGCCACGGAGCUAUUUUUACAGAAGUUGUUGGAGGGAAGAUAAGUGAAAUAUGGCUUCACUGGGAUAAGUCAUCUCACCACAGAUGUAACGAGAGAAAAGGAUUCAGGACGUGAACCUCAGAGUCCUGACCCCAUGUGUGAUCUGCUCCUGGAG